rnacentral:rRNA from 1 species
AUUGAACGCUGGCGGCAGGCCUAACACAUGCAAGUCGAACGAGUGGCGGACGGGUGAGUAAUGUAUGGGAACUGCCCGAUCAGGGGGGAUAACUACUGGGAACGGUAGCUAAUACCGCAUACUAUCUGUUAACCCAUAGGGGAUUAGCUAGUGGGUGUGUUAAUGGCUCACCAAGGCGACGAUCCCUAGCUGGUCUGAGAGGAUGACCAGCCAAACUGGAACUGAGACACGGCCCAGCCUCCUACGGAGGCAGCAGUGGGGAAUAUUGCACAAUGGGCGCAAGCCUGAUGCAGCCAGGCCGCGUGUAGGAAGAAGGCCUUAGGGUUGUAAAGUACUUUCAGUGGGGAGGCGUUACCGACAGAAGAAGCACCGGCUAACUCCGUGCCAGCAGCCGCGGUAAUUC